UUUUUUUUUGCUUUUUUAGGGCCACACCCACAGCAUCUGGAGGUUCCCAGGCUAGGGGUCUAAUAGGAGCUAUAGCUUCCAGCCUAUGUCACAGCCACAGCAAUGCCAGAUACAAGUCACGUCUUCAACUUACACCACACCUCACAGCAACACCAGAUCCUUAACCUACUGAGUGAGGCCAAGGAUUGAACCCGCAACCUCAUGGUUCCUAAUAAGAUUUGUUUCCACUGUGCCAUGACGGGAACUCCCAUUCUUAUUUCUUCGCUCCCUAUCCUUUUUUCCAUCCUUCUUUACUAUAUUUCAUCAAAAACUGCUUUAAGAUGCCAUACAAAAAGGUGCAGAGGAAAAGUGAAAUUUACAUAAAGGGAGAAGUUAAAGCAAAAGAAAAUAUUAGGUGAGCUCAAAAGAGAGGUAAAUACAGAACAUGGGUUGCAAACAUCCACUACUCUUUCUGGAAUAUUGAGCUAUGUUUUGUAAUAGCAAAGGAAGAAGGAAAGACCAGGAACUACGUAUUUCAACAUGUCUACAACAUAAAAACAAACUCAUUGAUCAAGAAAAAUAUGAGAACUCCUGGUGCUAAGACCAGUUUGAAAUGCAGAGAAUACCAUAGGUUGAUGUAGAUACAUGGUUCUCAAAAUACUAUUUACAAAAAGGACAAGAAGAACUUUUGAUAGAAUGCUCUAUUAUUUCUCAAAGGAAGCAGUGGCUGUGAUGCAAAUAGCCCUUCAUUUAAAGGCAUUCUAGUAAGGAUGGAUGGUGGGUAAAAAAGGUACAGGGAAUAAGGGGAGCCAUCAGGUUUCUUUGAUUGUCCAGCUUAACUUAAAGAGGUUUUUCAACAACUAGAAGACUUGGUCAACUACAUCUCCUUCAGAGAACUUUCUGUAAACUAAGAGACCCAAAUUUUCUCAUCAGCCCAACAGAGCUCUUGGUAAUUAUUGAUGCUCAUGGGUUUGAAGUUAUAACAUCUGAUGAGGACCAAAAUAUCACUAUUUCCUAUGUCUAGCAAAACCCAGUCCUAAGCAUUAAAUCCUUUGUUAAAAAUGACUGGACUUAAAUAUCGUCUAUUUGUAUGUUGCAUAUAGCAUUAUAUAUGUGUGUGUGUGUAUAAAAAUAAGUGUGAUGUAGAAACUGAGGAAUAGAGAAUUGCAUUUAAGAACUUGUCCAAACUCACACAGGAAAGUAGAAGGGCCCAAAUUGAAAUCCCUGUUUCUCUGACUGUGAAAAUGGGUUGUUCAGUUACUCCUGCUAAGGCUUAACCUUGGCUAAUUCCCUGACAGAUGCUUAUUAAAUAUCUGGCCUUUAAAAAAAAACUGCUGUUGUGCUAUUGUUUCUUCAAAUGUUUGCAUGGUUUUGCAUAGCCUUUAUGAUUCAGUUUGCUCAUAAGUUGGAGUGAAGAUAAAAAGGGAGGUUUAUAUUCUCUCUCCUGCUCACUCCCAUCCUCUCUAUCUCCUCCUCUUUUACUUUAAUAUUACAAAGCCUAUACACAUCUUGGCAGACAUAAAACAUACCCUGCUUUUUAAAAUCUAGUUUCAAAGGAUGAAUUUUGUCUCUUAUAGGGUCAAGGUUUAUUGCAUAUCAUAGAGCUAAGAGAAGAAAAUGCUGAAUUUGGUGCAAAGCAGAAAAGAGCCAACUUGUAGUCUUCACUUUUCCUUUUAUUUGUCUUAUUUUAAAUGGUCAAUAAUUUUUUAUAUACUCAGGAUGCUGCAAAAGAAGGUUUCCUGCUGUUACUAUGAGAAUGGGCAGGGAUGGAGAUCAAGGUCAUAACCUCAUCUAUGACACAACAGUCACACUUGUCCAGCCCAUGAGGUAAAGUCCAAGAUAUUUUUUACAGCUAUGUUAAGAAUUUGGACAUGGAGUUCCCAUCAUGGCUCAGCAGGAUAAGGACCUGACAUUGUAUCUGUGAGGAUGCAGGUUUGAUCCCUGGCCUGGCUCAAGGAGCUGGCAUUGCCACAAGCUGAACCAUAGAUCAUGUAGAGGUGGCUCUGAUCCAGUGUUGCUGUGGCUUUGGUGUAGGCUCCAGCUGCAGCCCCAAUUUAGCCCCUGACCCAGAAACUUCCAUAUGCUGCCAGUAUGGAUGGAAAAAAAAAAAAAAAGUUGGAUAUUAUCUUACCAUUGUUUACCUGCCCAACACUUCUGCCACUAAUCUCUUAAAACUUGCUUAAAAGUUACUUGAAAUUUUAUGUGUUAUAAAAUAGCUUCAAAGGUCAAUGUUUAUAAAGACUGUGAAAAUAUAUAGCUAAUAUGCAAAAUACAGAAAACAAAACUGUGAAAAUAGGAAAAUAAAAAUCAACUAUGACCAACUAUGACUUUAUCUCCAUGACAUUACUGAUUACAUAUUUGUGAAUGUACAUUUUAGCUUUUUUCUAUGUGUAUAAAUGCCCUAAAAACAGAUACAAACACAUAUUUGUUUGAUUUUAAGAGAAUCAGGAUUUUUCUUUUAAUUCAUUCCAUAUAAUUGCAUAUUUUUAUUUCUCAGUUUAAUUUAUAAGCAUAUUAUAAGUUUAUGGAAAUUUUUAAAGUAUGUUUUAAAUAGAUGUAUAAUAUUCCAACAUAGGUUAUACCAUAGCUGCUCUAGUUAUGCCAAUAUUAGAGCAUAUUUAUGUUUUAAAUUUUUUACUAUAUAAAAAAGUGCUAUAAUGAUCAUUGUUGCUCAUAUAUAAAAAUUGUGAUCUACAUUAAAUUACUUACUUUUCCAUCUAUAAGAAGCAAGGCAGUAGGAAACGUUUUAAUAGGUCACGAGAACAGAGAGGGAAUUUCCACAUAAAAAGGAGUACCAUGUGCAAUGGUCCUAUAGGGAGGAGGAUGGCCAAUAAAUAAAUAAAUAUAUGUUAUAACCCUACAAACAAAUAAAUAAAAAAAAUGGCAAGAGUACAGAGAAGAUGAGAAAGGAUAAUGAAGGGAACUGGAAAAAGAGUUAGGGGCCAGCGUAUGCCUUGGUGUUUAUCUUAAAAGCAAAAAGAGAAGCCUUUGAAGUUUUAAUUUAAUUUUACUUUAUUUUAUUUUUUGGCUUUUUAGAGGUUCCCAGGCUAGGGGUGGAAUUGGAACUACAGCUGCCCACAUGUCACAGCCACAGCAAAAUGAGAUCCGAGCUGCAUGUGUGACCUAUACCACAGGUCACAGAAACACUGGAUCCUUAACCCACUGAGUGAGGCCAGGGAUCAAACCCACAACCUCAUGGUUCCUAGGUGGAUUCGUUUCCACUCUGCCAUGACAGGAACUCCUCAAGUUUUAUUUUUAAAAUGGACUUGAGAAGCAGGGCAUAAAACAAUCUGUGCUUAAAAAAGUUCCCUUGACUGCUGUGCAGAGGGUGGAUGGAGAGGAGAAUGGAAGUUUCAUGGAUGAAACAGCUAGGGGGUAUUGUCAUAUUUCAAGUGGGAAAAUUGUAGCUUAGUGUAGGAUGCUGAAAAAAAAAUUCAAAUUUUAAAAAGAUGGAGAAAAAUGAAUGGAUUUAAGAAAUAUUUAGGAGACAAAACUGACAGAAUUUUAUGGUACAUAGGAUAUGGGUGGGGAAAAAAGGAAUAUAAAUUUACAAGGAUGUCUCCUAGAUUUCUGACAUGCAAAGCAGGUGCUGCCAUUCACUAAGACAAGGAAUACUGCAGGAGAAUCAUGCUUAGUGGGUAGAUAUUUUCUGCUCAGCUUUGCAGCUCAGGAAGCAUUUAAAAACAUGUGGUUACAGCUCAGAAAUGUUAGGAGCAGUCCAGUCUUGAGGAGGUGCAUUUGACUCUCAAUGGUAUGUAAAUGGUCAUGAAAGCAUGGACUUGGAUACAAUGUCUAAGGAAAUGGUAGAGACUGGGAAAAGCAGUGAGUCUGGAAGUAAGCAUUUUAAAGUGCAAGUAAGAAUGAGGCAGAGGAGGCAAAGUUGAAAGGGAAUAGGCAGCCAGAAACCUACCAGGAAUGUUAAAAGAGUAUGGGAAUGGGAGGUGAUGAAUUCAUGAAUGAACCACCUACUUCUACUUAGUCUGUGCUCCUUUGACUUUAAUGUGUGAAAUCUGCUUAGCAUAUUAAAACAACUUUAUAACAGAGUAAGGGAAGCUCAGGCACUAUUUUUAAGUAAGUAAUUGAAGAGAGUUUUAUUGCUAAUUUUAGCUUGUCAGAGGCACUUUUUAAAUGGCAUAAAACAUUCACUCCUACAGAGAUAGGACGAUGGGUGAGGGUUUAGGAGAUGGGGGUCGUUCAGACCGAAGGUCUCCACAGAUGUAGAGUGCAUGUUCAAGCCAACUGUAAAUGAAUGAUGGAGCACAACUGCUAUUUCAUUGUACUUCCGUACUGGAAAGAAGAGGUUUUAUCAAAGGAGUUAUUCUACAUGAGCUGGACUCUGGAUUAUAGAGGACAAAGCAGGGUCUCAAAAAGAAAGGUUUGGUGAAAGCCAUUCUGAGAUUUGAGGGUCUUUGGAUGCCAGUGGAAUAUUGAGAUGUUGGCUUGUUUAGUUCAGCUGCUGUAAUACCAUAGACAGGGAGCUUAGAGAACAUAAAUCUAUUUUUGAGUGGAGGCUGGGACAUCUAACAUCAGGAUGCCAAAAUGGUCAGGAAUCCAAGCCUCAUCUGCAACCUAUACCACAGCUCAUGGCAAUAUCGGAUCCUUAACCCACUGAGCCAGAACAGGGAUUGCACCGGGAUCAUCAUGGUUACUAGUCAGGUUCAUUUCCACUGAGCCACAACUGGAACUCCAAGUUACCUUCUUAUUGUAUCUUCAUGUGACUAAAGGAGAAGUUUCUCUUUUUAUCAGGGUAUAAGGGUCCCACACUUAUAACCUAAUCUAACCCUAAUUACCUUCUAUAGUCUCCACCUCUAAAUGUCAUCACAGUGGAUUUUGGGAUUUCAACAUAGGACAUUUGGGGGGAACAAACACUGAGUCCAUAGCAGAUACCAUCUGAGAACGGAAAUAAAAAGAGUGCAUGGGAGUUCGCAUCAUGGCUCAGUGGUUAAUGAAUCUGACUAGAAACCAUGAGGUUGUGGGUUCGAUCCCUGGCCUUGCUCAGUGGGUUAAGGAUCCGGUACUGCCAUGAGCUGUGGUGUAGGUAGCAGACGCAGGUCGGAUCCAGCAUUGCUGUGGCUGUAGUGUAGGUUGCAGACGUGGCUGGGAUACUGAGUUGCUAUGGCUGUUGUGUAGGCUGGAGGCUACAGCUCCGAUUAGAUCCUCAGCCUGGGAAUCUCCAUAUGCCACAGGAUGGCCCUAGAAAAGUCAAAAAGACAAAAAAAAAAAAAAAAAAGAAAAAAAA
rnacentral:lncRNA from 1 species